UACAGAGGUCUCGAGCGUUGUUCGGAUUCAUUGGGCGUAAAGGGUGCGUAGGUGGUCUGGUAAGUCGGAUGUGAAAUCCCGAAGCUUAACUUCGGAACUGCAUUCGAUACUGCCGGACUGGAGUACUGGAGAGGAGAUCGGAAUUUACGGUGUAGCAGUGAAAUGCGUAGAUAUCGUAAGGAAGACCAGUGGCGAAGGCGGAUCUCUGGACAGUUACUGACACUGAGGCACGAAGGCCAGGGGAGCAAACGGG
rnacentral:rRNA from 1 species